rfam:Sphaerobolus stellatus SS14 unplaced genomic scaffold SPHSTscaffold_3, whole genome shotgun sequence.
GGCGCAAUAGCUCAGCUGGGAGAGCGACAGACUGAAGUAAAAUUUGGGCAUCUGCAGGUCCCCGGUUCAAUCCCGGGUUGUGCCA